rnacentral:rRNA from 1 species
UGAGGGAAAGGCGAAAAGAACCCCGGCGAGGGGAGUGAAAAAGAACCUGAAACCGUGUACGUACAAGCAGUGGGAGCCCCACCACUAAGCCAGUGGUGAACUCCACAUACGCAUCCUUUGCUGAGGAUACGGUUAACGGAGCGAAAGCGACGUUCAACCGCAAAAGAAGCAGAGGGGGCUUAGUGGUGGGGUGACUGCGUACCUUUUGUAUAAUGGGUCAGCGACUUAUAUUCUGUAGCAAGGUUAACCGAAUAGGGGAGCCGGAGGGAAACCGAGUCUUAACCGGGCGUUAAGUUGCAGGGUAUAGACCCGAAACCCGGUGAUCUAGCCAUGGGCAGGUUGAAGGUUGGGUAACACUAACUGGAGGACCGAACCGACUAAUGUUGAAAAAUUAGCGGAUGACCUGUGGCUGGGGGUGAAAGGCCAAUCAAACCGGGAGAUAGCUGGUUCUCCCCGAAAGCUAUUUAGGUAGCGCCUCGUGAAUUCAUCUCCGGGGGUAGAGCACUGUUUCGGCUAGGGGGCCAUCCCGGCUUACCAACCCGAUGCAAACUGCGAAUACCGGAGAAUGUUAUCACGGGAGACACACGGCGGGUGCUAACGUCCGUCGUGAAGAGGGAAACAACCCAGACCGCCAGCUAAGGUCCCAAAGUCAUGGUUAAGUGGGAAACGAUGUGGGAAGGCCCAGACAGCCAGGAUGUUGGCUUAGAAGCAGCCAUCAUUUAAAGAAAGCGUAAUAGCUCACUGGUCGAGUCGGCCUGCGCGGAAGAUGUAACGGGGCUAAACCAUGCACCGAAGCUGCGGCAGCGACGCUUAUGCGU